ACCCUGGUGGCGGAACAGGUAGACGCGCAGGACUUAAAAUCCUGUCUGCAGAAAUGCGGGUACGGGUUCGAUUCCCGUCUGGGGUACCA
rnacentral:tRNA from 1 species